GACAGGAGGAUGCAAGCGUUACGUCCGGAAUGAUUGGGCGUAAAGCGUGCGUAGGCGGCUGCGCAAGUCGGUUGUGAAACCCCGGGGCUCAACCCCGGAACUGCAUCCGAUACUGCGUGGCUAGAGGUAGGUAGGGGAGAUCGGAAUUCCUGGUGUAGCGGUGAAAUGCGCAGAUAUCAGGAGGAACACCCGGUGGCGAAGGCGGAUCUCUGGGCCUUACCUGACGCUCAGGCACGAAAGCUAGGGGAGCGAACAGG
rnacentral:rRNA from 1 species